rnacentral:tRNA from 1 species
GCAUUGGUGGUUCAGUGGUAGAAUUCUUGCUUUUCAUGUGGAAAACUCAGGCUUGAUUCCUGGCCAAUGUA